rnacentral:tRNA from 1 species
GAGGGUAUAGCUCAGUGGUAGAGCCUGUGCUUAUUAACAUGCAUGAGGUCCUGGGUUCAAUCCCCAGUACUUCCA